rnacentral:lncRNA from 1 species
AAAAUAAUGCAACUAUCCUUUUUAGAACCCAAAAUUAAAGUUAUGGGUUCAAAGAUUUCAGCAAUCUUCUUCAUUUCUAUGAUUUUCAUGUCAACAUGUUUAUCACCAGCUUAUGCAACUUCGGGACGAUGCCCAUGUACUCCUCCUUAUCCACCUUACCAACGCCCUAGUCCACCUGGCACUACUCCACGGCCGCCACAUCCGCCUAAAUCUCCACGUCACCCUCAUCCACCUAAGUCCCCUGGUAGGCCGCCCCACCCUCCGUCAACGCCACGUCCGCAUCCACCAACGACCAAACCACCACCCCACCACGGCGGAGCACCUCCUAGGGUUUUGCCGCCUAUUGUCAGACCACCACCAGUUGUAACACCUCCGGUCACAAGGCCACCUGGCAUUUCACCUCCAGUCACUAGGCCACCUGGCAUUUUACCACCUAUUGUCAAUCCUCCCGUUGUAACACCUCCAGUCACUAGGCCACCUGGCAUUCUUCCACCUAUAAUAAAUCCUCCGGUCACUAGGCCACCUGGCAUUCUGCCACCUAUAAUAAAUCCACCUGGCAUUUUACCACCAAUAACAACUCCUCCCGGAGGAAUCCCACCACCUUCUGCUGGAUAUCCACCUUAUGCACCUCCUGGUGGAGGUGGUGGUGGUGCGCCCGGUCGCGGAGGAGGAGGC